UUAGUUACAGAGUGAUUAUACAGAAGAUGCAACAGAUACUAAACCUGAUAGGGACAUCGAGUUAGAGCUUUCAGCACUUGAUACUGAUGAACCUGAUGGACAAAGUGAACCAAUUGAAGAGAUCCUGGACAUACAGCUUGGUAUCAGUUCUCAAAAUGAUCAGUUGCUAAAUGGAACGGCAGUGGAAAAUGGGCAUCCAGUACAGCAGCACCAAAAGGAGCCACCAAAGCAGAAGAAACAGAGUUUAGGUGAAGACCAUGUGAUUCUGGAGGAGCAAAAAACAAUUCUGCC
rnacentral:sRNA from 1 species